rnacentral:rRNA from 1 species
GUGGGGAAUUUUGGACAAUGGGCGAAAGCCUGAUCCAGCAAUGCCGCGUGCAGGAUGAAGGCCUUCGGGUUGUAAACUGCUUUUGUACGGAACGAAAAAGCUCCUUCUAAUACAGGGGGCCCAUGACGGUACCGUAAGAAUAAGCACCGGCUAACUACGUGCCAGCAGCCGCGGUAAUACGUAGGGUGCGAGCGUUAAUCGGAAUUACUGGGCGUAAAGCGUGCGCAGGCGGUUAUGUAAGACAGAUGUGAAAUCCCCGGGCUCAACCUGGGAACUGCAUUUGUGACUGCAUGGCUAGAGUACGGUAGAGGGGGAUGGAAUUCCGCGUGUAGCAGUGAAAUGCGUAGAUAUGCGGAGGAACACCGAUGGCGAAGGCAAUCCCCUGGACCUGUACUGACGCUCAUGCACGAAAGCGUGGGGAGCAAACAGG